rnacentral:rRNA from 1 species
GACAGAGGAUGCAAGCGUUAUCCGGAAUGAUUGGGCGUAAAGCGUCUGUAGGUGGCUUUUUAAGUCCGCCGUCAAAUCCCAGGGCUCAACCCUGGACAGGCGGUGGAAACUACCAAGCUGGAGUACGGUAGGGGCAGAGGGAAUUUCCGGUGGAGCGGUGAAAUGCGUAGAUAUCAGGAGGAACACCGAUGGCGAAGGCAGGUCUCUGGGCAUUAACUGACGCUGAGGAGCGAAAGCAUGGGGAGCGAACAGG